rnacentral:lncRNA from 1 species
AAAACACUGUGUGCUCAGCAUACUUAGAAGGUGUUUGAUAUGUGGUUAUUGCAUUUAGAGGGAAAACUUGUGGCUUGUAGACAGCCUUCUCAGAUUUCCCUUUUGUGUAGCACUGUAUAGGGACAACACGGAAUGCUGCCUUCCCUAUCUGCCAUUUGCCUAGAACGACACCAUGGUGCUUGCUGGGUACUACUUGGUACAGAUCAUGCUUACAUGCCCCUGUGAAGGCUCAGCGAGGCUCAGGACCUUGUUCUAGAUCUGGCAGUAAAUCACUGAUAAAAAUGGAAUUUGGCCCUGGACAGGGACAUUCUAUGACAUCUACCAGGCAGCAAGGUGCUGGGUGACUUAUGGUUUAGUUCUGACAUUCUCUUUUACUCUCAUGUGUAAUAGCUAUGAUAGGUCUGCUGAUCGCCCUCACCAUACUGAAGCCUGCUUUGCUUACCUGUAGAGGAAACUGUCUGCAUUUAGAGACAAACUCUCUUGCAGGCUAUAGGUUUUAUGAAUGACUUUGUUUCCUACUCCCACCCCCCUAUUCCCAGGAGUACGCAAUAAAGACGUGUCACUAAGCACUAGCAGAAGGAAUCCAUAUAUCCAUGAGGAUACUUUUUACCUAGCUUCACCACACUUCAAGUUUGCAACAUGCUGAGCACAGAACAUGGGCAGAGGGCAAUUCCUGCAGUCUCUGAGAAGCCACUCAGUCCCCGGCGUGCCAGCUGGGGCCCACAGCUGAGUCUAAGAGUGAGUGCACUGUCUAGCUGAGGGAGGGUUAGUAAAGCCAUGCUACCACUUGGACUUCCAUCCUGGCAAGUAAAAAGGAGAAGGAACAAUUUGAACUUUACCCUAGCCAGUGCAGCUUAGGAAGCAAGUGGAGGUUGUGAAAACACCAGGUAAAAGGGAUAGAGGAGGAGGAGGAGGAGGAGGUGUUUAUGUUCUAGGCUGAUGGAAUCAGUGCUAUUAAAGAAUGACCUAGCAACAUGCUCCUGUUGGCCACCCUUUAAAGCUUCAGAAUAUUAAACUCUGCCUGUCACUUCUCUAGCCCUAUGUGGAGGAGCUUGGCGGAUUGGGUCAAGGCGUGCUAGCUAGCAGUACUUGAUAUGCAGAAUGAGGUCAGUCACUGAACCCAGCAGGCAGGAGGCAGGAGACCUGCUUGACUGGUCUCUGUUGUGCACUGUGCCUCCCCCCGCCCCCCAAUCUUACUUUACUGUGAAAUAAUGCAGCAGUUUGGGGAGAAUUUUACUCCUUCAAGCUGUAUCUGCUUUACAACUUAUCACAUACCCUCUCUUUCUAUUACAUUAUAAGUGAACUUGGGUGCACUUUUCACAGGCCUUUACUACCUCAUAUAUAUACUAGCAGAGAGAGGUACUGUGCAAGCCAAAUAUCUCCCAACAACUUAGAAGAUUGAUAACCAAACACAGCAAGAGGUAAUACUUCCUACCAUUUCACCAGUAGAAGGCAGACAUAUAAGAGUUUAAACUCUAACUCAGUAAAUGGUAUGGAGUUGGUAUAUGGAAGGAACUUUCUGAAAAAGGAACACAAAACAUGGAGCCUUGACUUCUAGCAGCAAUAUAACUUCAGUAAGUCAAUAUCUACUAUGAAUACAUUUUAUAACACCAUCUUCACUUGGAAAGAAAGGCAUACCCUUAUGAAAACAAGAAAAUAAAAAAUUACCUGUGGUCUCAUCCGUGGAUUCCACCGUACAUAAUAAUUUACCCACAAUUCCAAGUGACUCAUACUAGCAACAGGAUAUAACACAUGGUUCUCAUAAUUCACAAAGAAGGGAUUUGAGAAUUCAUCUAGUUGGCUAUUGAUAUAAGACCAUAAAGAUAUAGUAUUUGUAUAUACAUCCUGAAAAAAUAAAAACAUUACAUUGAAUUAAGUUCUCCACAGCCUCAAGGAUUAAUUUUUUUCAUACGAAUAUAGAUUUUUAGAUAAUGAACUGAAUUCAAACACUGAAAAAUCUAGGCACAUUUACUAAGCCCCACCCCUCUGGCUAUAUACAGUCUCAUCCUGGAGAUGAUAUGUGUGAUGUAUCAGGAAAUAGUACUAAAGUUAGGCAACAUCUGGAAACUGUAUUUAUCUAUACAGUAUAAGCAGGCUCAUCAAUAACAAAUAUAUAUUUUAUUGAGGAUUUGAGUUCAUUGAUAUUGAGGGAUAUUGAUGACUAAUAACUGUUAAUUCCUGUUAGUUUUAUGUUGGUGGUGAGAAAGAGAGCG